rnacentral:piRNA from 1 species
UGGGAACUUCUCCAGUCUACCAAGAGGGUA